rnacentral:rRNA from 1 species
AGACGUCUACAUUAGAUACCCCUGUAGUCCCAGCCGUAAACUAUGCGCGUUAGGUGUAUCGGUGACCACGAGUUACCGAGGUGCCGAAGGGAAACCGUGAAACGUGCCGCCUGGGAAGUACGGUCGCAAGGCUGAAACUUAAAGGAAUUGGCGGGGAGCACCACAACAGGUGGAGCCUGCGGUUUAAUUGGACUCAACGCCGGGAAGCUCACCGGAUAGGACAGCAGAAUGAUUGCCGGGCUGAAGACUCUGCAUGACUAGCUG